rnacentral:rRNA from 1 species
GACGAACGCUGGCGGCGUGCUUAACACAUGCAAGUCGAACGGUGAAGCGCCUUCCUUUUUGGUGGGUGUGGAUGAGUGGCGAACGGGUGAGUAACACGUGAGUAACCUGCCCCCUUCUUCUGGAUAACCGCAUGAAAGUGUAGCUAAUACGGGAUAUUCUGGGUCUGUCGCAUGAUGGGUCUGCGAAAGAUAUUGUUUCGGUGGGGGAUGGGCUCGCGGCCUAUCAGCUUGUUGGUGGGGUGAUGGCCUACCAAGGCGGUGACGGGUAGCCGGCCUGAGAGGGUGGACGGUCACACUGGGACUGAGACACGGCCCAGACUCCUACGGGAGGCAGCAGUGGGGAAUAUUGCACAAUGGGCGCAAGCCUGAUGCAGCGACGCCGCGUGAGGGAUGGAGGCCUUCGGGUUGUGAACCUCUUUCGCCAGUGAAGCAGGCCUGCCUCGUUUGUGGGUGGGUUGACGGUAGCUGGAGAAGAAGCGCCGGCUAACUACGUG